UACGUAGGGUGCAAGCGUUGUCCGGAAUUAUUGGGCGUAAAGAGCUCGUAGGCGGUCUGUCGCGUCGGCUGUGAAAACCCGGGGCUCAACCCCGGGCCUGCAGUCGAUACGGGCAGACUAGAGUGCGGUAGGGGAGACUGGAAUUCCUGGUGUAGCGGUGAAAUGCGCAGAUAUCAGGAGGAACACCGAUGGCGAAGGCAGAUCUCUGGGCCGUAACUGACGCUGAGGAGCGAAAGCAUGGGGAGCGAACAGG
rnacentral:rRNA from 1 species